UUAACACGAUAAUCACUCAAGUUCCACAAUGUGGACUUUGCUGUCCAAUUACAAAAUACCACCCAAACCCCUGGAAAAGGACAAGGUGAAGAAGAGGGACCAACCACCACCCUAAACCCUCCAUCUUAUUUAAAUAUAUUUCUAUAUUCUAAAACCCCAAACUUUUAAAUUUCAUUGAAAGCUCAUUUAAAUUCAAUUCAAAGCUCAGCCCUUUAAUUUAAAGCAAAGUCUGGCUUUAAAUCAGGCUCUCUGUAGUUGAUAGGCAAAAGCUGAUACAGCUCAACAGCAGCUCAGCUCAUCUCAUCUCAUCUCAUCUCAUCUCAAUAUGGAUUAUAGGGCUUGAGUGCCUCUUUGUGUCACUGACCACAAUGGAGCCCACAGAAACCAAAAUUUGAAUUAAUCCCUAACGAUUACAACUCUAAAUUUAACCCAAUCUGAUUUUCAUCAUAAAACUCAUUUUCUUCUUUCCACCCGUCCAAUCAGACUCCUUCCAAGGACGAGUUCAUCGUUAUCGACGUGCAGCCAGUGAAGAGCAACAUCCCAGAGAGGAAACUUUCUGUGAGCAGGGGCAGGAAGGAGCUCCCUCCAUGGCGCUCCUCCGACAGGAACCCCACGGACACCAUCCGCUACAACUACCUGGACAACCAGCACCCCAUCGAGCAGGCCCGGCACGCUGGUGACCCCGACGUGAUGGAGAACGUGCAGCCACAAGGAGCACUGAGAGAAGGGAUGGACUCUUUAAGAAUGUAGUAACAACGAUACAACAACAAGUGGUGACCCCGACGUGAUGGAGAACGUGCAGCCACAAGAAACAUUGAGAGAAGGGAUGGAUUCUUUAAGAAUGUAAUAACAACAAGAUAACAAGUGGUGAUCCCGACGUGAUGGAGAACGUGCAGCCACGAGGGACAUCGAGAGAAGGGAUGGACUCUUUAAGAAUGUAAUAACAACAAGAUAACAACAAGUGGUGAUCCCGAUGUGAUGAAGAACACACAGCCACAAGGAACAUGUAGAGAAGGGAUGGACUCUUUAAGAAUAUAAAAACAACAAUACAACAA
ensembl:lncRNA